rnacentral:rRNA from 1 species
UACGAAGGGGGCUAGCGUUGCUCGGAAUUACUGGGCGUAAAGCGCACGUAGGCGGAUCGUUAAGUCGGGGGUGAAAUCCUGGAGCUCAACUCCAGAACUGCCUUCGAUACUGGCGAUCUUGAGUCCGGAAGAGGUGAGUGGAACUCCUAGUGUAGAGGUGGAAUUCUUAGAUAUGACAUAGAACACCAAUUGCGAAGGCAGCUUACUACACAACCAUUGACGCUGAGGCACGAAAGCGUGGGGAUCAAACAGG